rnacentral:lncRNA from 1 species
UAAAACCCAGUUGCCCUUUUCUUUAGUCUGUUUAUACUUUUCGGAUAAGACCUGCAGAUUCAUUUUGCUUUCUGUUUUACUGAGUUUGUCUUCUUGUUUCUGAUUUCCGAGUCAAGCUCUGUUUUCUUAUAUCAUUGAGUCGCCAUUUCCCUGAGUAUUGUGCUUUCUUUAGUUCGAAUUCUUUUUUUUGUGCUGGGUUUUGUCGAGAUUGUAACUACAGAAUCGAGUUAUUGUCUUGAGCGUUGGCUAUGUUUGGUUCUUCAGUAUAUGUUGCCGAUUCUGGGUUUUGUUUUGAUAGUUUAGGAUUGAUUAGUUUUGAGUUUGAGUUCUUUGCUGAAUCUUGUUCUGUUGCUUCGAGUUGCUGCAUCUGUAUUUAAAGUUUCUGAUUCGUUUUUGGUACUAAGUUGUGUAUGUUUGAGUUCGUUUCUGCUGAGUAGUUAGUUCUGGGUUUGUUUAGUCUGAUGGGGUUUGUCUCUGUUUUCUUUUCCGAGUUUUGACGAGUCAUGUAUCGAGGCACUAGUCGAGUAAAUGAGUCUGUUUGUCUGAGUUCGUAUUUUCCGAGUUCAAAGUCUGUGUUUAUGGCUGAGUCAAGUGUUUAAGUUUCGCUGGUUACUGGGUUUUCCUGCUGUUUUCAAUCAAGUAUUUUAGUCGUGUUGUAGCUUCGUUUUUGCUUCAAUCUUCACUGAGUUGUUUUGUCGAGUCAGUAUUCUGAGUUCUCGUUCGCUGGUUUCCGAGUCGUCAUCUGAGCCACGCUCGAGUUCUGCAGAUGUGUUCUGAGUUUCAGUCCUGUUUCUGCCGAGUUCAGGGUUUUAGUUUUUGUCCGAUUUGGUGAGUCAGCAGAGGUGUUAGUUUCUUUAGAUGUUAAAUUAAUUUGCUGGGUAGCCGAUAUAUAGUCCAAUUGAUUUUCUUGUCUUCUUUUCGGUUGUUUUCUUUUGUAAAGUCGAGUGGUUGUUUUUUCUGGAAUUUAAGUUUCUUUUCUUUUUGUCAUUUUGUUCGUGUGGUGCAAGCUAUUGUUUUAGGUUGUAUAUACACUUUGGUUUCCUUUACCUGGGGUGAUAUAUUAUUUAGUCGAAU